UACGGCGGGUAGAGGGAGGAGGGGGAGGAGGAGGAGGAGCGGCCGCGCCGCCGCCGCCGCGGCCGGCUAAGGGGCUGGGGUGGCGGAGGGCGCCGCUUCUUGUUCUGGUAGAUGCUCGAGGAGGGCGAGAAGCCGGAGGGGCGCCCGCAGAAGGGCCGGUUGCAGUGGCGGAAGAGCGAGCGGCCGUUGCCGUCGGAGCGGCACCUGGAGCGCCCCGGGACGAUGCAGGUGAAGCUCAUGGAGUGGAUGAAGCUCGGCGCGCAGUGCCCGCACGAGGCGAUGCCGAGGGAGUGGCUCGACCUCCCGCACGUCCAGGCGGCGAAGGAGCAGACCAAGUCGCAGCAGGCGCAGUUCCAGCUGGACGGGGGCGGGGGCGCGAAGCAGAUGGAGCUGUAGCCGACCUAGUGGGCGUUCGAGGGGCGGCGGCUGAAGGUCAGGCAGGUACGGACGCUCCGGCCGUUCGCCUCCUCCUCCACGGCGGAGAGGAGGCGCGAGCGGCGGCGGCGGCGAACCAAGGUCCUGAAGAAACGGGUUAAAAUCUCCUACGUCUUCCAGAUUAAAACACCGUCGUAGUGUGCUCGAAUGUCGGAAGGCGCAGGAUUUCUUUAACUUCGUGAUGUGAGGGUAAACAACUAACAAUGUGUGUAACAUACAGAGACGCCCAUGAGCUGCGACGACAGACUCGAGAUGUAAACAAGCUCUCUGCGUGCUAGAAAUUCUUUCUAAACAUAACCAAUAAAAUCAAGUUUGACAACUACGACACGAGGUGCGAAGUUAUGUUAUCGUGAAGACAUCACCGUACAUAGUAGUAAAACAACCUUGAGAUUGUUCAGAGGUGUCUUCAAAGGAGGAACGCACAGUUAUCGUCGUUGGUGAGACGACGUGUUACUCGCUUGGACAAACAUAUUUUAUGGUUCAGGACUCAAAGAGUUGUUCAUGUUUCAACUCAGUAGAUAAAACCUUGCCUCCCUCAUGCACCAUAUGUGUAAGUCCGAAAGUCAAAG
rnacentral:rRNA from 1 species